rnacentral:rRNA from 1 species
GCAGGCCUAUNAUAUGUCAAGUCGNGCGGAAACGAUGGAAGCUUGCUUCCAGGCGUCGAGCGGCGGACGGGUGAGUAAUGCAUAGGAAUCUGCCCGGUAGUGGGGGAUAACUUGGGGAAACCCAAGCUAAUACCGCAUACGCCCUACGGGGGAAAGCAGGGGAUCUUCGGACCUUGCGCUAUCGGAUGAGCCUAUGUCGGAUUAGCUAGUUGGUGAGGUAAUGGCUCACCAAGGCCGCGAUCCGUAGCUGGUCUGAGAGGAUGAUCAGCCACAUCGGGACUGAGACACGGCCCGAACUCCUACGGGAGGCAGCAGUGGGGAAUAUUGGACAAUGGGCGAAAGCCUGAUCCAGCCAUGCCGCGUGUGUGAAGAAGGCCCUCGGGUUGUAAAGCACUUUCAGUGAGGAAGAACGCUUGUGGGUUAAUACCCUGCAAGGAAGACAUCACUCACAGAAGAAGCACCGGCUAACUCCGUGCCAGCAGCCGCGGUAAUACGGAGGGUGCGAGCGUUAAUCGGAAUUACUGGGCGUAAAGCGCGCGUAGGCGGCUUGAUAAGCCGGUUGUGAAAGCCCCGGGCUCAACCUGGGAACGGCAUCCGGAACUGUCAGGCUANAGUGCAGG